AGGUGUAGCAGGAAGUAUAG
rnacentral:snRNA from 1 species